GACGAACGCUGGCGGCGUGCCUAAUACAUGCAAGUUGAGCGCUGAAGGUUGGUACUUGUACCGACUGGAUGAGCAGCGAACGGGUGAGUAACGCGUGGGGAAUCUGCCUUUGAGCGGGGGACAACAUUUGGAAACGAAUGCUAAUACCGCAUAAAAACUUUAAACACAAGUUUUAAGUUUGAAAGAUGCAAUUGCAUCACUCAAAGAUGAUCCCGCGUUGUAUUAGCUAGUUGGUGAGGUAAAGGCUCACCAAGGCGAUGAUACAUAGCCGACCUGAGAGGGUGAUCGGCCACAUUGGGACUGAGACACGGCCCAAACUCCUACGGGAGGCAGCAGUAGGGAAUCUUCGGCAAUGGACGAAAGUCUGACCGAGCAACGCCGCGUGAGUGAAGAAGGUUUUCGGAUCGUAAAACUCUGUUGGUAGAGAAGAACGUUGGUGAGAGUGGAAAGCUCAUCAAGUGACGGUAACUACCCAGAAAGGGACGGCUAACUACGUG
rnacentral:rRNA from 2 species